rnacentral:rRNA from 1 species
GACGAACGCUGGCGGCGUGCUUAACACAUGCCAGUCGAGCGGAGCGGCGAACGGGUGAGUAACGCGUGAGUAACUGCCCCCCUUUCUGGGAUAACUGUUGGAAAUGGCUGCUAAUACCGGAUAGUGAGGGAUGGCUCGCGUCAAAUCAGCUUGUUGGUGGGGUAGUGGCCUACCAAGCAGACGACGGGUAGCCGGCCUGAGAGGGCGACCGGCCACAUUGUGCUUAGAUAAUGCCCAAACUCCUACGGGAGGCAGCAGUGGGGAAUAUUGCACAAUGGGGGAAACCCUGAUGCAGCAACGCGCGUGCGGGAUGACGGCCUUCGGGUUGUAAACCGCUUUCAGCCAUGACGCGGUAGUGGCAGAAGAAGCACCGGCUAACUACGUGCCAGCAGCCGCGGUAAUAC